UGCAAUCAGCAUGCUGAUUAAGGUUGCUUGGUUUUUUACUAAACAUUAACUGAAUGAAAACGGGUAGUCCUUGUUCUGCUUGGGGGGCUUUAAGGAAGCAAAUGGACUUUCAGAACAGAGAUUGUCAAUAAAGGUCAGUUAUGGAUCCACUAAAUACUUGGAAACUACCUAUAGCUCUGCACUGAAAUUUUAUUCUUAGAAGACUGUAAAAUAUUUUAACUGCAUUAAAUAUUUAAGCAAGGCAUUAUCGUGUAGCAGUUAAGAGCAAAAACUUGAAGAAGAUGGCCUGGUUUCACUAACUACCUGCACGACUUUGGAAACGUGCCAGACCUCUCCGUGCAGUUUCCUCAUCGGUAAAAUGGGGAUAAUAAUAGAUCCCAUCUCUGAGGUUUGUUGUGAAGAUUAAAUUAAUAAAUAUUUGUUAGACAGAAGAGUGAAAUAGAAGUGUUUACUCCUGCUAAUAUGGCAUAUCACAAAAGGAAAUAGGGGUUCAAGAAGCAAUAAAAUGAGAACUAUAUAAUGUAUGGCACAAACAGAAAGAAGACUUUGGAAGUGCUAGUUUGUGACAGACGCCUUUAUGUCUUUGGUCCACUCCAGGAACCAGAAUAUUACCUAUAAAUAUAACUGAAUCUUCCUGAUCCGGGCAUCUUUCCUUAAAAUACAUGAAGACAAUGUUUUAACACUUAAAGACCAUCAUAAUGUUAAUGAAGACUACCUGAGCACACAGAACUCUCCAAAGGUCACUACUAUCCAGGGUCCUCUGGUCUUCAAGGUUGAUAUGUUUGGCAUUUGAGUCUUUUUCCUUCCAGUGUUUAGCUAUUGACUCAUUCGGGAUUUCUUUCUGAUUCCAUUCUGAUUUAGUCCAAACUUGGAUCAUAAUCUUUCUUCUUUGUCAGCUAUUCCUAGCUGUCAGCUACUUUUUGCUGCUCACCCUAAAUCCAACUUUCCCAGAUUCAAAAAGAUUUUUUAAAGGAAUGUCAGCUCUCCCACCUCACCUGGUUGCUUAUAUCCAGCUGUCCUGCUUCUAUGAGCACAAGAGACACACCAUGUGUCACUGGAGUGAAUGAUGGUUACUGCUCUGCUAGUUCUCAGUGGUAACAAUCCUAGUGGAUUCCUCACCAGCACCUUUAAAUCAAAAUAGGAAAGAAUGGUUUUAUGGUACAAUUUACUAGUUUAAAGAUAUUGGUCUGUUCUUACUGCUUAAAGUCAUAGGUUAGAAGAGGAGAGAACCAUAUAUCUUUGGAUCUGAACUGGUGUCUUAGACAAGAGUUCCAGCAUCUGUUAAAUAUAGCAGAGCUAUUCCAACCCUUUAAGUGAUUCCUCACUGCUCAUUUGAAAACAGAUGUUAAGGACAUACUGAAAACCAAGCAUGAACUAAAGACCUUCAGAAAAUCACUGUUAUACUUGCCCAACCAUGCUCAGUGGGAAGAUUUGCUCUACUGAAUCCAUACUGUAUCAGAAUGCCUUCUAUGAACACACCCUGUUUAAAAAAAAAAAAAAAAAAAAAGCCUUGUUCCGUAGAAGGCAUUUUAGAUAGAAUGAAGAAGAGCAAAAGAUGGUGUUUAUUCCAUGUCACCAUACCUUGUUUGGUCCUUUUUUCAUUGAAAUUCAGGUAAAGUAGCAUGUCAGGCAGAAUGUGGUGGUGUAGUGGAAAGAACUCUGACUAGGUGAUGGGGUCAAGGUGUGGGUCCAAGAUCUGCUUCCUGGAAAAGCCAUUGCUUUUUCUGAAUUUCAACAUCUAUUCAGAUGAGGAGGUAAUAACAUCGACCUCACAGAAUUGUUGUAAAGAUUAAAGACCUUUGUAUGUUACAAUAGUAAUACUGGACAUUAUUAUUAGUUUUUAUUAGCAAUAAGUAAUUUUGAUGUUAUAGAUCUAAAUAAUUAAGGUCCCCAAACCUUGUUUUCUACCAAGAUAGAUGUGAUUUCCUUGACUUUUCUUCGUUUUUCCAGAAAUUCAUAAUCUGCAUGUUUUCUGGGAUGCAGUAGAUAGAGUGCAAAGAGCUCAAACAUUGGAAUAUGAGACAUCUGAAGUCAAACUGUGGUUAAGUCACUCUGAAUUCACUUACUAGUUAGUGCUAGUCAAGUCUUUGACCCUUGGUUUUCCUUUCAUAAUAUGGGGCUAAUGAUACUCAUUUUGCAUAAUUGUGGAGAGAAUUAGUUAUAAUGUAUCAAGGAGCCUAGCACAGGGAAUAGUUUGCAGUAAACAACCAUUGUACUAUAGGCUACUUCUUUGGUUUUUCACUCCUUCCUAUUAUUAUUGACAAAAUGGGGUUACCAUUGUUCACAAUUACUUUAUAGGCCCUCAUGCAAUUGCUUAAUGGGUAGUAAAGAUUAUACCUUGAAAAAAAUGAGUCAUUUGGAUUAAUAAAUCAUUAAAAGGUAAUAUGGGGGGCUCAAAAAUUAUUUUCUCUUUAGAUAUCCUAACUGGAAAUUCUUUAGAAAUUCAAACUCUUGAAGAAUGUAAACAUUGAUAAGACAUGGUUACUGUCUUCAGGAAGCUUACAUCUAGUUGGAGGCAUUUCUUUCACUAGUAUCUAUGUUCAACCAAAUGUUGUCUUUAUAUGGUGACUGAGCUGUGAGGUAAGAAAUAAAAUGCUUUCAAAAAUUAGA